rnacentral:rRNA from 1 species
UGACGUUAGGAAAGCGAGCGGCGGANGGGUGAGUAACACGUGGGGAACCUGCCCCAUAGUCUGGGAUACCACUUGGAAACAGGUGCUAAUACCGGAUAAGAAAGCAGAUCGCAUGAUCAGCUUUUAAAAGGCGGCGUAAGCUGUCGCUAUGGGAUGGCCCCGCGGUGCAUUAGCUAGUUGGUAAGGUAANGGCUUACCAAGGCGAUGAUGCAUAGCCGAGUUGAGAGACUGAUCGGCCACAUUGGGACUGAGACACGGCCCAAACUCCUACGGGAGGCAGCAGUAGGGAAUCUUCCACAAUGGACGGCAANNCUGAUGGAGCAANGCCNCGUGAGUGANGAAGGNNUUCGGNUCGUAAAGCUCUGUUGUUGGUGAAGAAGGAUAGAGGUAGUAACUGGCCUUUAUUUGACGGUAAUCAACCAGAAAGUCACGGCUAACUACGUGCCAGCAGCCGCGGUAAUACGUAGGUGGCAAGCGUUGUCCGGAUUUAUUGGGCGUAAAGCGAGCGCAGGCGGAAGAAUAAGUCUGAUGUGAAAGCCCUCGGCUUAACCGAGGAACUGCAUCGGAAACUGUUUUUCUUGAGUGCAGAAGAGGAGAGUGGAACUCCAUGUGUAGCGGUGGAAUGCGUAGAUAUAUGGAAGAACACCAGUGGCGAAGGCGGCUCUCUGGUCUGCAACUGACGCUGAGGCUCGAAAGCAUGGGUAGCGAACAGGAUUAGAUACCCUGGUAGUCCAUGCCGUAAACGAUGAGUGCUAAGUGUUGGGAGGUUUCCGCCUCUCAGUGCUGCAGCUAACGCAUUAAGCACUCCGCCUGGGGAGUACGACCGCAAGGUUGAAACUCAAAGGAAUUGACGGG